AAUCAGCAACUGAUUACAGUGGAAAAAAUGACCUGAUUAUGGAUAUCAUCAUAGGACUACUUAAAUUGGUCUAAGUGUUUUCACUUUGUUAUGCCAAGAACUUGAAGUUGUAGAAAAACCUUCUGCAGCAUUAACAAGCAAAAGGCAAACUGCUUGAGAAUAGCAAAAGAAAUCACAAUAGAUAAAUUGAAGGAAGAUGUCACUGCUUUAUAACUGACCAAGAUAAAACAGAUUACCAUGAACUGGAAAUUCGAUCUAUUGCCAGCUUGCAAUAAAUGGUGUAAUACAUACGAAAAAAGGGUUUCCACAAAACAAGUGAGUUGCAGAUGGGUCCUGUAGUCCAGCAUUUAGAGGAUGCAAAAAUAAGAGAUACAGCCUAAGUAACUGCUGUUGAGGCUUCGCCAUGCUUUUCCCCCCAGCAUGCCUCUACUGUGACCUGGAAGGCAACACCUCUAGUAGUGAGAGAGUAGCUCAUUCUCCACAGUCAAUUCAGUUCUCUUCUGAAAUUGAUGAUAAGGUGGAUCACUGUCCACUGGAAAUGUGACUAACCCCAAAGAUUUAAUGGACAUUGGGUGAUGUUUGCGCUAAGAGCAAUAAACUGUGGCACAGAAGGGCAAUUCUUCAUUUUCAAACUUUAAAAAAUGCUCAAUGUGUAAACAGAGUAGGAGGUUGUGCUUAGAAAAAUAAUAGACCUGGGUAACUUAAAAUUGGAAAG